rnacentral:lncRNA from 1 species
AAAAAUAAACAAAUAAAACAAAUUUAUAGUCACAUUUUAUAAAAUUAGAAUGCCAUUCUUGGAAUAUUUGUCCCAUUCUACAAGCAUAUAGUGUUUUAUAUUAAGCCAUUUUGAAAGAAUCUUCAUUCCGUAAGAAUACAAUAUCUUAUAGUAAGUCAUUCUUGAAAGAAUCUUAAUUCUCAUUAUUGGUAUGGUGAAUCACAAUUGUCAUGAAAUUGUCUCUUAAUUUUUGUCCAUCAUUGUUGUUCCAAGAAACAUUGCUACGUUCUGAGUGGUCCUGAAACAAAAAUAUACAAAUAAUGAAGUUUACGAAUGUAAAUAAAUACAAUUGUCAUCAAAUAAGAUGUAGAAAUAUUUGACCUUCUAUGCUAAUAUUAACAUAAGAAAGAACAAAAAAAAAGUCGUUUUUCUUGUUAGUAUUACUUGAGGUAACAUCAAGAUUUCUGCAACAAAACUUUUUCUAGCAUUAUAACAUGAAAAAAAAAAAACAAUUGUUAUUAAGAAAUGACAACAUUUUGUAUAAAAGAAACUUAACAUUUAUAACAUUUUGUAUAAAAACAUCACUUGUAAUAGGUAAGAAUAAUUAACCUGAUAUUAACGAGGUAGGAAUAAUCUGAAUAGGCACAAGAAACGAUCUUACUGAUGAAGCACAAACACAAACUAAGCAUCACAACCCAUUCGAACAGAACUUAACCACUUAGAAUACCAUUCCAACACUUAAUCUAUGAAUAACAAACAAACGUAUGUAAAAAAUAAAAAUUUAAUGGGUGAAAGCUUUAGUAAGAAACACUACAUGCAUUUAUGACGUAUUUAUUGGAUAUGAAAGCUACCAUAGGACCUAACAUUGAUAUAUUAUAUGAUAUAUGUGAAAAUGAAAUGGGAUGAUAGGGAAGAACUUAACUCCUGUAAAUAUAAAUUUAAUGGGUGAAAGCUUUAGUAAGAAACACUAGCUUUCCCUCUUUGUUGAGUCAUAUUACUCUUACUAAUUAUGAAAGUGGGAUGAAGAAAGACCUUUAACCCAUACCUUGAAGUCACAACACCUACAAAAAAACCAAUCAAAACAAAUGUAGUUAAAAUCUAAAUCAUUAGAUGCUAGGUCCUUAUUAAAUCAAACUAUAGUAAAAAUUAAAAACACCCAAAUUGUUUUUACCUAGGACGUAACCGAGCUUCCAUAAAAGUGAAAAUCAAAUGAAUUUGUUCCUUUAACAAUGGUACAUAGUUGUUGCCAUCGCGGGGGAUGGCGGAACGUGAGAGAACGGCUUGGGAGAGAGUAAGUAAGGUAGAACAAGUUAAGAGGAUGAACAAAACAGAUGCAUGAAUACCGAUUAUAAAUGUUGACACAACAACAGGAGAGAUCGACCUACUUAUUACUAAUUCAAGAUCAAGAAAAACACAAUCGUUGGUUACUUAUAUACAUAAACCAAAGAAUAUUAAUCUUAAGAGAUGGAACGACCUAAGAAGAAAGAGGGGAGAAGACCGUCGUUGCCAAUUAAUUUAUGAGAUAAUUUCAAUUCUUACCAUUAAAAUGGAAUGUACAAAGUUUGAAGAAGGUAGAGGAUGAAGUUCGACUUGAAGAUUGUGGCCGAAGAUCAAAGAUACAUCAGAGGUGGAUUGAUGGCGACGGAUCGAUG